rnacentral:rRNA from 1 species
AGCGAACGCUGGCGGCAGGCCUAACACAUGCAAGUCGAACGAUCCUUCGGGAUAGUGGCGGACGGGUGAGUAACACGUGGGAACGUACCUUUAGGUUCGGGAUAACUCAGGGAAACUUGAGCUAAUACCGGAUAAGCCCUUUUGGGGAAAGAUUUAUCGCCUUUAGAGCGGCCCGCGUUAGAUUAGCUAGUUGGUGAGGUAAAGGCUCACCAAGGCUCCGAUCUAUAGCUGGUCUGAGAGGAUGAUCAGCCACACUGGGACUGAGACACGGCCCAGACUCCUACGGGAGGCAGCAGUGGGGAAUCUUGCGCAAUGGGCGAAAGCCUGACGCAGCCAUGCCGCGUGAAUGAUGAAGGUCUUAGGAUUGUAAAAUUCUUUUAGCAGGGACGAUAAUGACGGUACCUGCAGAAAAAGCCCCGGCUAACUUCGUGCCAGCCGCCGCCGUAACAC